UACGUAGGGGGCAAGCGUUUUCCGGAUUCCUUGGGCGUAAAGAGCGUUUCGGCUGCCAGGUAGGUCGGUUGUGAAAACUGGAGGCUCAACCUUCAGAGGUCGACCGAAACCAUCUGGCUAGAGUCCGGGAGAGGAGAGUGGAAUUCCUGGUGUAGCGGUGAAAUGCGCAGAUAUCAGGAAGAACACCCGUGGCGAAAGCUGCUCUCUGGAACGGUACUGACGCUGAGACGCGAAAGCGUGGGGAGCGAACAGG
rnacentral:rRNA from 1 species